UGAGACAGGUGAGACAGGUGAGACAGGUGUGUUACAGGUGUGUGUUACAGGUGUGUGUUACAGGUGUGUGUGUGUUACAGGUGUGUGUGUGUUACAGGUGUGUGUGUGUUACAGGUGUGUGUGUGUUACAGGUGUGUGUGUGUUACAGGUGUGUGUGUGUUACAGGUGUGUGUGUGUUACAGUGUGUGUUACAGGUGUGUGUCUGUGUGUUACAGGUGUGUGUGUGUUACAGGUGUGUGUGUGUUACAGGUGUGUGUGUGUUACAGGUGUGUGUGUGUUACAGUGUGUGUUACAGGUGUGUGUCUGUGUGUUACAGGUGUGUGUGUGUUACAGGUGUGUAUGUGUUACAGGUGUGUGUGUGUUACAGGUGUGUGUGUGUUACAGGUGUGUGUGUGUUACAGGUGUGUGUGUGUUACAGGUGUGUGUGUGUUACAGGUGUGUGUGUGUUA